CGACGACGCCUCCAGACACGUCCUCUCUCUCUCUCGCGGUUUAACGUCGCCGUUGUUCAUCGCGCUUCGCCGCACCUGCUGCACGAAGCUUAAUUGUUGAUUCGAGUAUGGAUUUGGAGCCUCUGCUGAUAGGGAGGUGCUGGUUUUGGGGCUGGCGCCGUCUUCCGAGUACACAUUUUUGGUGUAUGCUUCUCCAGCUGGAAACUAUUUCAAGGAAGAGACUGUGCCGAUCAGCUUGUACGUUGAGGAUGAGUUCCAUCGCGCUGGCCGCGAUGGUUCUGGAGGUGUGAAGAGCGUCAUGAAUUAUGUGCCGGUAUGUAAGUGUUGCAUCUUUCUGCCAACUGUUUGAUGAAAGUUCUAAAUGAAGUUGGCUACUGAAAGUUCGUCAAAGUGUUUUUAUUUUUUUAUUUUUAUGAUUUUGAUAUCA